rnacentral:rRNA from 1 species
UACGGAGGGUGCAAGCGUUAUUCGGAAUUACUGGGCGUAAAGGGCGUGCAGGCGGCUGGGCAAGUCUGAUGUGAAAGCCCGGGGCUUAACCCCGGAAGUGCAUUGGAAACUGCCCGGCUUGAGUACUGGAGAGGAAGGGAGAAUUCCCGGUGUAGAGGUGAAAUUCGUAGAGAUCGGGAGGAACACCAGUGGCGAAGGCGCCCUUCUGGACAGCUACUGACGCUGAGACGCGAAAGCGUGGGGAG